AACGCUGGCGGCAGGCCUAACACAUGCAAGUCGAGCGCCCCGCAAGGGGAGCGGCAGACGGGAGAGUAACACGUGGGAACGUACCCUUCAGUUCGGAACAACCCAGGGAAACUUGGGCUAAUACCGAAUACGUCCGUAAGGAGAAAGAUUUAUCGCUGAGGGAUCGGCCCGCGUCUGAUUAGCUUGUUGGUGAGGUAACGGCUCACCAAGGCGACGAUCAGUAGCUGGUCUGAGAGGAUGAUCAGCCUCACUGGGACUGAGACACGGCCCAGACUCCUACGGGAGGCAGCAGUGGGGAAUAUUGGACAAUGGGCGCAAGCCUGAUCCAGCCAUGCCGCGUGGAUGAUGAAGGCCCUAGGGUUGUAAAGUCCUUUCGGCGGGGAAGAUAAUGACGGUACCCGCAGAAGAAGCCCCGGCUAACUUCGUGCCAGCAGCCGCGGUAAUACGAAGGGGGCUAGCGUUGCUCGGAAUCACUGGGCGUAAAGCGCACGUAGGCGGCUUUCUAAGUCAGAGGUGAAAUCCUGGAGCUCAACUCCAGAACUGCCUUUGAUACUGGAAGGCUUGAGUCCGGGAGAGGUGAGUGGAACUGCGAGU
rnacentral:rRNA from 1 species